UACGUAGGGUGCGAGCGUUAAUCGGAAUUACUGGGCGUAAAGCGUGCGCAGGCGGUUAUGUAGGACAGGUGUGAAAUCCCCGGGCUUAACCUGGGAACUGCAUUUGUGACUGCAUAGCUAGAGUACGGUAGAGGGGGAUGGAAUUCCGCGUGUAGCAGUGAAAUGCGUAGAUAUGCGGAGGAACACCGAUGGCGAAGGCAAUCCCCUGGACCUGUACUGACGCUCAUGCACGAAAGCGUGGGGAGCAAACAGG
rnacentral:rRNA from 1 species